GACAGAGGGGGCAAGCGUUGCUCGGAAUUACUGGGCGUAAAGGGCGCGUAGGCGGGAUGGCAAGUCGGUCGUGAAAUCCCUCGGCUCAACUGAGGAUCGUCGAUCGAUACUGCCGUUCUUGAGGAUUGCAGAGGGAGACUGGAAUUCCCGGUGUAGCGGUGAAAUGUGUAGAGAUCGGGAGGAACACCGGUGGCGAAGGCGGGUCUCUGGGCAAUUCCGUGGACGCGAGGCGCGAAAGCGUGGGGAGCAA
rnacentral:rRNA from 1 species